GACGAACGCUGGCGGCAUGCCUAACACAUGCAAGUCGAACGGAACUUGUUGAAUGAAGUUUUCGGAUGGAUUUUAGCAAGUUUAGUGGCGGACGGGUGAGUAACGCGUGAGCAACCUGCCUUUCAGAGGGGGACAACAGUUGGAAACGACUGCUAAUACCGCAUGAUGUGUCGAGACCGCAUGGUCUUGACACCAAAGAUUAUAUCGGUACGAAAUGGACCCGCGUCUGAUUAGCUAGUUGGUGAGGUAACGGCCCACCAAGGCGACGAUCAGUAGCCGGCCUGAGAGGGUGACCGGCCACAUUGGGACUGAGACACGGCCCCAAACUCCUACGGGAGGCAGCAGUGGGGAAUAUUGCACAAUGGGGGAAACCCUGAUGCAGCAACGCCGCGUGAGUGAAGAAGUAUUUCGGUAUGUAAAGCUCUAUCAGCAGGGAAGAAAAUGACGGUACCUGACUAAGAAGCCCCGGNUAACUACGUGCCAG
rnacentral:rRNA from 1 species